rnacentral:rRNA from 1 species
AACGAACGCUGGCGGCAUGCCUAACACAUGCAAGUCGAACGAACCCUUCGGGGUUAGUGGCGCACGGGUGCGUAACGCGUGGGAAUCUGCCCUUUGCUUCGGAAUAACAGUUAGAAAUGACUGCUAAUACCGGAUGAUGUCUUCGGACCAAAGAUUUAUCGGCAAGGGAUGAGCCCGCGUAGGAUAGGUAGUUGGUGGGGUAAAGGCCUACCAAGCCGACGAUCCUUAGCUGGUCUGAGAGGAUGAUCAGCCACACUGGGACUGAGACACGGCCCAGACUCCUACGGGAGGCAGCAGUGGGGAAUAUUGGACAAUGGGCGCAAGCCUGAUCCAGCAAUGCCGCGUGAGUGAUGAAGGCCUUCGGGUCGUAAAGCUCUUUUACCAGGGAUGAUAAUGACAGUACCUGGAGAAUAAGCUCCAGCUAACUCCGUGCCAGCAGCCGCAGUAACAC